UGUGAACAGUAUAUUAACAGCUUUUGCAGGUUUUUGUUAAUGCAAAAUCAUCAGAGAUAAAAUUUUAUUUUAUUUAGUUUUAUAUUUAAUAUAUACAAUUAUAAUUACUAAAAUCGAAAAAUAAAUUUAUUUAUUUAUUAUUUAAUAAUUAAAAAUGAUCAAGUUUCUGGUGACCUUCAGUGCCGGUAUUUACACUGGUAUUUAUAUCAGUCAAAAUUAUGAGGUUCCAAGAGUUGAUGAACCAGCAAAAAUAAUAGAAAGACUGAAGGAAUUUGCUGAUGAUCAUAAGAAAAAAUAGACAAAAAUGAAUAAUAAUCAUUGUACAUACACAAAUUUUUUUUUUAUUGGUUUAUUUUAUUUUUUUCUUUGUAUAAACUUGCCGGAUAGAUUAAUUUAGGUGAUACAAAGUAAUUGAUUUAUUAUAAUUUAAUUUUUUGUAAUGAUAAACUAUUGAAUAGUAAAACAUUUUCAAUUAAUGAUGAGUUAAA